rnacentral:misc_RNA from 1 species
GAACGCACAUUGCGCCCGCCAGCAUUCUGGCGGGCAUGCCUGUCCGAGCGUCAUUUCAACCCUCAGGAUCCCUCCGCCUCGUGCGGUCGGAGCCUGGUGUUGGGGAUCGGCCCGCCCCGCGCGGCGCCGUCCCCCAAAUACAGUGGCGGCCCCGCCGCAGCCUCCCCUGCGCAGUAGUUAUCAACUCGCACUGGAGCGCGGCGCGGCCACGCCGUAAAACCCCCGACUUUCUGAACGUUGACCUCGGAUCAGGUAGGAAUACCCGCUGAACUUAAG